rnacentral:rRNA from 1 species
UAGGGAAUCUUCCACAAUGGACGAAAGUCUGAUGGAGCAACGCCGCGUGAGUGAAGAAGGGUUUCGGCUCGUAAAACUCUGUUGUUAAAGAAGAACAUAUCUGAGAGUAACUGUUUAGGUAUUGACGGUAUUUAACCAGAAAGCCACGGCUAACUACGUGCCAC